rnacentral:tRNA from 1 species
GGUUAUCUAGUGUAGUGGUAGCACGUUCAGGCUUGUUGAAUUCUAGACACUGUCAAGCUAAGAAAAGGCUGGUUCAAGUCCAGUGAUAACCUCCA